UACAGAGGUGCCAAGCGUUAGGCGGAAUCACUGGGCUUAAAGCGCGCGUAGGCGGAUGUUUAAGUGUCUUGUGAAAUCCCACGGCUCAACCGUGGAACUGCUGGGCAUACUGGACAUCUCGAGGCACUCAGGGGCGAGCGGAACAAGUGGUGGAGCGGUGAAAUGCGCAGAUAUCAGGAAGAACACCAAUGGCGAAGGCAGCUCUCUGGGACGGUACUGACGCUGAGACGCGAAAGCGUGGGGAGCGAACAGG
rnacentral:rRNA from 1 species